GGAAGCCAACGGGGCCCGGUGGCCCUCCCGGUCUUCAAAACCGGUGGUGUCCCGCCAUGCGGGAUGGCUGGGUUCGACUCCCAGGGGCUUCCGCCA
rnacentral:tRNA from 1 species